rnacentral:rRNA from 1 species
UGGGGGAUAUUGCACAAUGGAGGAAACCCUGAUGCAGCGACGCCGCGUGAGUGAAGAAGUAUUUCGGUAUGUAAAGCUCUAUCAGCAGGAAAGAAAAUGACGGUACCUGACUAAGAAGCUCCGGCUAACUACGUGCCAGCAGCCGCGGUAAUACGUAGGGAGCGAGCGUUGUCCGGAUUUACUGGGUGUAAAGGGUGCGUAGGCGGGUUUGCAAGUCAGGCGUGAAAUCCCGGGGCUUAACUCCGGGGCUGCGCUUGAAACUGUAGAUCUUGAGUGAAGUAGAGGCAAGCGGAAUUCCUAGUGUAGCGGUGAAAUGCGUAGAUAUUAGGAGGAACACCAGUGGCGAAGGCGGCUUGCUGGGCUUUAACUGACGCUGAGGCACGAAAGCAUGGGGAGCAAACAGGAUUAGAUACCCUGGUAGU